rnacentral:lncRNA from 1 species
AUCGAGGCAUACAAGCAUAUUGAUGCCCAUGUUGAGAGAAGCUCUAGAGACGACAUGAAAUCCAUGUGCUACAUUUGUGUGUAUAGUUAGAUUGAACAUAAUGAUUGUUCAUCCUUUUUUUCCUCUCGAUCUCAAGGUAUUUAUUGAUUUCCUUCUUCUUAUAAUCAUUUUAGAGCUAUUGAUCUUUUAGAGUUUGAAUUUGGAUAUUGUUUAUCCAUGACUAUAAUUUCUUGGAUCUGAGUUGCUCGUUUUCAUUUGGAAGUGGAUGUAUCUGAUUGAAACCUCUUCCUUGAUUAGGGCUCAUAACAUGUUGUUGAUCUUUAGCAGUUUUAUCAGUUUUUUUAUAUCUUGUUCCCCCUUUCUUUGUUGCCGAUCCGCUAGUUUUCCUAUCAUUCUCGACAAUUUUUCUUGCCGAUCGGCAAAUUUUCAUUCUUGAUAUGUCAUAUUUAGCGCACAUAAAAAGAGUAUUUUUUGUAUUUUCUUGGGUUCAACACUUUUUUAUUUGGUUGAAUGAUGUGAAAGUUGCAAGUUUUGAGCCAUUUUGGAAUAUGAAUUAUAGCCCUCUUUACCUUCCUUGUUACUGAUCUUGAUGAUUGGAAUCAUACAAUUAUCCUUUUUGAUUCUUCUACUUGUGGGAUGUCAAUCAUACAAUUAUCCAACCAUACCCUCUACAAUUAUGCUUCUAUAUUUACUGAUGAUCAGUGUUACCUUUUUAUCUGCGUUUGAUGUGAAGAUUUGUCCGCCUUUCAUUUUACUAUUUCAUCUAUUAGUUUGGACAUUUGAAGUGUACUGUAGUCAAUUUUGCUGUUAAAUGUUUGUGUGCAGCUCGUCGGACAUAAGGUGCUAGGCCGGGGGGUGGUCAUUGGAUUUCAACAAAAGGAAAUCGAAUUGGUGUCCUUCAAUUACUUGAGCCUUAAUCUUCUCUUUUUUCGCUACCAUAAGACCAACCGUUAUCAAGUUCAAGAUGGAGCAUUUCUUUUGUUCUUUUGACAUAAUAAGGGAAUCAACCCCUUGUGGCAUUUGUGCCUAUUUUCAGAGUUUAAUCUCCAACGUCAGGGCCAAAGUGCCUUGUUAUAGGAGGUCAGUCUCCACAGUCGUAGCCGUGUGCUUCGUUAGUAAUACAUGAAUCAUUUUCGAUUCAUAUGAACUGGAAUAUGCCAUCAGUUAUCAAACAAGUCGCAUUUUUCAAAUGUGUUUCUCCCCUCAUUGACAUAAUGUUAUAGGAAGUUCUUUUUGUGACAUCGAAUCACGUAAACAAUCAUUUCAAACCAAGCACACCAACCAGUG